rnacentral:rRNA from 1 species
GCGCACCAGUCGCGAAAACUUUACAAUGCAGGCAACUGUGAUAAGGGAACCCCGAGUGCCCGUAUGGACGGGCUGUUCAGGUGCUUAAAAACCACCUGGAGAAAGGGCCGGGCAAGACCGGUGCCAGCCGCCGCGGUAAUACCGGCGGCUCGAGUGGUGGCCACUAUUACUGGGCUUAAAGCGUCCGUAGCUUGGUCGUUAAGCCUCUGGGGGAAUCUUCCGGCUCAACCGGAAGGCGUCUCAGGGGAACUGGCGGCCUAGGGAUCGGGAGAGGUGAGAGGUACUCUGGGGGUAGGAGUGAAAUCCUGUAAUCCUCAGGGGACCACCUGUGGCGAAGGCGUCUCACCAGAACGACUCCGACAGUGAGGGACGAAAGCUGGGGGAGCAAACCGGAUUAGAUACCCACGUAGUCC